UUGCAUUUGCAAUGGACCAACGGUUUUUUGAGGUUGUUUGUGUUUUGUAGUUUGUAAUUUUUGUGAUUUUAUCCAGGAAAUAUAGGAGCUGUGGUGAUGAAAUUUUCCAACACAAAAGAAAAAUACAUAGAAGCAGUACAGUAAUCAAAUACUGGCUGAAGUCUCCAAAAACUUGGUUUACCAGCAAAGAGAAAUCUAAAAAUGUUCAAACACCGGAUCCUGGAGGAAAAUCUGAAUUCUACAAAAAUUGAGAUUGAAUUGAGGUACAGUAACAUGAACCAGUAUGUAGCUCAAAAAAUUGAUCCUUCA